ACUGUUGUUGUUGGUUGAGUGGACACAAAAGGUGGGAGCCAGACACGAGGGGGGCAGAGAAAGUGAGAGUUUGGAAUCGAACAGGAACAAGAACAGGAACAGGAAGAGGCUCCCGAUGAUAUAUAUCUAUCCCCCACGCCAUGCAGAAUUUGUGAUUCUCCUUUGAGUGAUGAAAAGCUUGGUUUCUGUUUGACAACUUGGCAUAUGUUUUAAAACAGACUGUUUUGAUCUAAUUAAGAUUGUUGACACUUGACAAUCCAAAGAU